GACGUAGGGCGCGAGCGUUGUCCGGAUUUAUUGGGCGUAAAGAGCUCGUAGGCGGCUUGUCGCGUCGUCCGUGAAAACCUGGGGCUCAACCCCAGGCUUGCGGUCGAUACGGGCAGGCUAGAGUGCGGUAGGGGAGACUGGAAUUCCUGGUGUAGCGGUGAAAUGCGCAGAUAUCAGGAGGAACACCGGUGGCGAAGGCGGGUCUCUGGGCCGUAACUGACGCUGAGGAGCGAAAGCAUGGGGAGCGAACAGG
rnacentral:rRNA from 1 species